UCUCAAGAUCCUUAACUUCAUAACAUCUGCAAAUCCUCUGUGCCAUAGAAUGAUUGACCAAAAGAACUGUAAACGUCAUUGUACAGGACAUUUGCCAUUUCCUGCUCUGUCCUCGUCCCUUCUUCUGGAGAUAGGAUGUUUCUUUGGGAACUACGCCUCCCAAUGCAGUCUCCAACUCAACUGUGGAGUUCUAAGGACUGUUGCCAAUCGUGGUACCUGGUUACCUGGGUUACAGCCUUGAAUACAAGCAUGCUGCAUGCUACAUCAGUAUAUAAUGAUCAAAGGCAAUAUGCUAAGGAUGGUGGAACAAGAAGAGAGAAACACGUUGAGUCUUUGAUAUUGUAUAGCCACAGUUCCAGCCUCAGAUGUCCUGCCUCCAGAUUUAUU